ensembl:lncRNA
AUGGACGGAGAGAUCUCCUGUCCUCCGGUUCACUCCCCAAAUGGCCACAAAAGCCAAGGCUGGUGCAGUCUGCAGCCAGGAGCCAGGAGCUUCGUCCGGGUGCCCCACUGGGUGCAGGGGCCCAAGUGCUUGGCUCAUCUGCUGCCUUCCCAGGCCAUCAGCAGAGAGCAGGAUCGGAAGCAGAGAAGCCAGAACUGGAAGCAGCGCUCGCUUCUGCCUUGCCCUGCACUGACCAGGGCACACACAGGUCCAAGGCAGAAACCUAACCCUGGGGUCUCCCGGCCUGAGCAUCAGGCUCGUCAGUCAGGGCCCCACCCGGCCCAGUGUGCACAGCAGAGCACCCCAGGGACACCUGUCCGCAGGCUGGAGAUGGCUGGCGCCCCCCUACAGGAGCCCACGCCGGGGGCACGCUGUGGCUGCACCCUGUCCAUGCUGACCCCUGCCCCUCCCCCCUGCUUUGAGGAGGCGUGGCGAGGUGAUUCCAGAGCACCCCCUGGACAUGGUGUGUGGAGGGCUGGGGAGCAGCUGGCAGGAUGCUGGGGUGCAUGGCUGGCUCCCCUCCAGCUCAGAUGUGAUCCAGGCAGUUGGAGUGGCAGUUGCUGCAGCCCUGAGGCCUGGACCCCAGGACAGGGCAACCCUGGGAAAUCCAUCCCUGAACGCGCAGGACAAAGGCGCACAGGGACGGAGCUGUCCCAGGUGCAGGUGGGGCCGGGCUGUCUGGAUGCCCUCCGACCUCACCCCCACCCCUGCCUCGUGCAGUCAGCUCAGGAGAGGCCUAAGCACCAGAGGGCUCAGGCCCAGAACCAGGCAGGAUCCAUUCAGAACCAGUUCCCGACGGCGCUGACAGCUGCACCUGCUGGUCUAGACGGGCUCUCCCGGACAUGUGAGGCAGAGAAGGGUUCCAGGAGUAGGGGAGGGGCUGCAGGCUGGGGCCGCAGGCUCGGCAGGAUGAGGGGAAGACGCCCCACGGCCUGGGCAGCCAGCAGGGGGCUACACGGCGGGGAACUGCCCCACGAGGGCUCCCUUCCUUAUCUGGACGGGGCGCAGGUCAGCUGCCCCUGCAUGCAGGGCUCAGGACACACACCGUCUGCAGUGUGCGCCCGGAACAGGGCCGGGCGUGACAAGUGCCACCACGCACGCGCACCGCAGUGUCCACCGCAGACAUCAGCUCCAUUUUCCAGGGAAAGAAACUUCCGGAAGAUGCCGCCUGCAGGCACCCCCCUUUGGAACCUGCCGCUCAGGAAACUGCGGGGGAGGGGUCUGGGCCCCAGGGAGGGCGGGACAGGCACUGGUCAGCUCACCACCCUCACCACCAAGGCUGCUGGAACUCAACCGGGUGGGGCCUGGUGGUGUGCGUCCACGGCGCUGCCUGGACACCCUGCACUGCCUGACCGCCAAGCCAGCACAGGCCCUCAAAACCCAACUUUUACUGUACUCUGCUCUGCCACCGGACGGCAGCAUGACACGCCACAGCCAAGGGGAGACGGGUCAGCCCUCCGCCACACGGCCCGCAGCUCAGAGCACAGGGAGAGGCACAGGGUCCACCUCUAA